rnacentral:tRNA from 1 species
UAGCUGAGUCAGUAAAGAAUCUGCCUGCAAUGCAGGACACCCAGGUUUGAUUCCUGG